CACCUACUUACAGCUUGUGAAGGAGAAGAGACACAGCCAUGCACAGAGGAAAGACAGUGAAAGCACAGACACGCAGAGGGAGAUGGCCAUGUGACAACAGUGGCAGAGGCUGCAGUGAUGCAGCUACAAGCCAGGGAACCCGGAGGAUUGGUGGUAACCACCUGCAGCUGGAAGAGGCAAGGAGGAUGCUGUCCCACGGCCUUCAGAGGGAACAGGCCCCUGGCAAGACCUUGACUUCAGAGCUGGGCCUCCACAAUGAUGAGAGAAGCCAUUUCUGUUGUUUGAAGGCACCCAGUUGAUGGCAAUUGGUUACAGCGUCCACAGGAGGCUGAUACAAGAGCGAAGAGUGUUCCAGCAGAGGGAGGAGCCAGCGCAGAUGCCUUCACGAGAAAGUUCCUAGGCCUGCUGGAGCAGCGGCCGGGAUGACCAAAGGAGCGGGAGCCCUACAGGCAGGCAGGGAUGGUCCCAGAAGGGGUUGGUGCCCAGCCACAGGGUCUUGUAGACCAUGGUGAUGAUGUUUGCUUUAUUCUAAGAACGUUGGGAAGUCAUUGAAGGAUUUUACAAGAAAGAUGAAACAUGAUUUGAAGUUCAUUUUUGAAAGAUCGCAUCAGCUGCUCUGUGAAGAGGAGUUUUGAAAGAGGCAAGAGAGGAGGCAGGACAGCCACUGUGGCCUGCAGGUCCUCAAACGAUUACACAGAGUCACCGCGUGACCCACCGUUCCACUCCUCUGUAUAGACCCACGAGAAAUGAAAACAUAUAUUCAUACAGAAACCUGUACAAAAUGUUUAAAGCAGCAUUAUUUGUAAUAGCCCAAAGAUAGAAACUACAUAAAUGUCCACCAAUGAAUCCAUACAAUGAGGUAGUUAUUUGGCCAUAGAAAGGAAUGAAGUGCCGGUAGGACAGCAUGAAUGAACCCGGGAACCAUCACGAUAAGUGAAGGAAGCCAUUCACAAAAGACCACGGAUUGUAUGAUUCCAUUUAGACAAAAUGCCCAGAAGAGGCAAAUCUCUAGAGACAGAAAGUAGAUUACUAGUUGCUUAGGGCUGCAAGGGUGAGCAUUGGGGAGGGGAGAUAGCUGAAGGGUCAGAGCUUCUUUUUGAGGUGAUACAAAUGCCGUAAAAUGGACCACGGUGACGACUGCAGCUACAUGGAAUACACUAGCAACCAUUGAAUUGGAUACUUUUUUUUUUAAGUGAAAGCAAGCUUAUUAGAGAAGUAAAGAAACAAAAGCGUGGCCACUCCAUAGGCAGAGUAGCCUGAGUUGUCC
rnacentral:lncRNA from 1 species